rnacentral:lncRNA from 1 species
UUUUUUUUUUUUUUUUUUGUCUUUGCCCUCUGCAUGCAAAAGUUCCCAGGCCAAGGAUCAAACCUGCCCCAUAGAAGUGACCAAAGCCACAGCAGUGACAACACCAGAUCCUUAACUGCUAGGGCACAAACAAAUUCCAAAAAUGCAUUUACUAUACCCAACCUAACAAACAUCAUAGCUUAGCCUAGCCUACUUUAAACAUGCUCAAAACAAUCACAUUAGCCCAUGGGUGGGCAGAAUCAUCUAACACAAAGCCUAGUUUAUAAUCAAGUAUUGAAUAAUUCAUGUAAUUUAUUAAGUACUGUACUGAGAGUGAAAAACAGGCCAGUUGUCUGGGAAAGAAUGGUCAUUUCCUCUUGUGAUCCCCUGGCUGAUUGGGAGCUGUGGUGGCUGCCACUGCCCAGCAUCAUUAGAGAGCAUCACACAGCCCAUCACUAGCCAGGAAAAGACUGAAAUUCAAAAUUCCAAGUUCCUACUGAAUGGGUAUCAUUUUGUACCAUCAAAAAGUUGAAAAUCAGAGUCUCCACUGUGGCUCAGCAGUAAUGAACCCAAGUAAUAUCCAUGAGGAUGCAGUUGGGUUCGUUAACCACUGAACAACGAAGGGAACUCCCAAAUACUACUUAAUAAUUGCCUCUUCUAGGAAGGCCUCUCUGAUUAUUCAAUAAUCAUGUACCAUUGUUUGGACAAACAGUCCCUGCAUAUGGAAAUAAGAGCUAUGGCCCCAGACCUCAGGUGGGGAGGACAGAGGAGCUGAAAUAUCAUCAGUCAUUAUUACACGGAAUAAGUGCUCUGAUAGGUAAGCAAGGGGCUCUGAGAGCACCAGGGGCCAUCACAGAGCCCUGACUGGGGAAGUGUCAAAGAAAAGGGGACAGGUUGGGGAAGGGGUGGGCUAAGGGUUUGGUGCUGGCAUAUGCACACUGCAGUACAUGGAAUGACUGGCCAGAGGGGACCGGCUGUGUAGCGCAGAGAACUUUCCCAACAUUCGGUGAUGAUCUGUAUGGGGAAAGAAUCUGAAGGAGAAUGGAUGUGUGUACAUGUAUAACCAAAUCACUUUGCUGUACAGCAGAAAUGACCAUGACAUUGUAAAGCAACUGUACUGCAAUACGACUUGAAAAAAUAAAAAAAUAAAAAAAAGAAAGUGUUCCUGGAUGAGGUGAGGUGCCAUCUGCACUGAGUUGUAAAGAAGGACCCAGGAGUCAGGUGCCAAGCAGAGGAGGUGAUGAAGGAAGAAGGUGUCCAAGCUGAGAGGCUGGAGGGACCGUGGGGCACUGAGGGUUCAGUGUGGCCAGUCCAAGCCUCUGACAAGACAGGUCACGGGUCCUUGCUGCUCCAUCAGAUAGAGGUAUGAUUAUACUGGCUCCUAGAAGGUCACUCAGCCACUGUGUGAGGAGGUUUUCUGCGAGGAGCAAGACCAAGCGAAGGGGACCCUUCAGGCAGCCAUCAGUGGCAGCCAGGAGGGAGAGGAUGGGAGCCUGAUGGAGGCGGGGACACUGGAGGGAGAUCGGCUGGGUCAGUGACCUAGGAAGAGCGGGGUGUUGCUGUAGGCAACAGGAUGGGGGCAGGGGUCACUAUCAAAACGAACAGACAGGAGGAGGCAAUUUCAUUUUGCCCUGUUGGGUUGAGUUCCUUGCAGGACCUCCAGAGGACAGGGCCCCUGGGUGGUGGGGACAGAGACUCGUUGCUUAAGCCAGUUCUCUGAACGAGAAAGCUUAAGGGGAGAGCUAUCAGCACCCAGGUGAUAGGUGCAAACUUGGACUUGGAGGACAUCCCCGGGGAGAGAAUCGAAACAAGAAGAGAGGGCCCAGAGGGAGCCCAAGGGACAAUGACAUGGGAAGGUCCAGCCAAAAGGAGGAGGGCAAUCGAGGGAGGAGGAAGGCUCCAGAAGACAGGCAGACCAUGCAGUCAUGGCACACCGCUGGCAGAGGUCACAAUACACCGGUCAACAGGGACCUUGGCCAAAGCAGUUCUGGAGGGAUGAAGGGGGCAGGGACCAGAUCACCCCGGGGGUGGGGGGUGAACACAGGGUGCCAUGAGAAGUGCGGGUGACAGGGGUCGGCCAGCCCCCA